rnacentral:misc_RNA from 1 species
UCCGGCUUGACGCCGGCAGUCUCGUUAGAGUCCUCAGCAUUACCUGUUAGCAACUAACGACAAGGGUUGCGCUCGUUAAUGGACUUAACCAAACACUUCACAGCACGAGCUGACGACAGCCAUGCAGCACCUGUUCACGUUGUACCCUUGCGGGCCUCAUUGAUGUUUCCACCAACUAAUCCGUGUAUGUCAAACCCGGGUAAGGUUCUUCGCGUUGCUUCGAAUUAAGCAACAUGCUCCACCGCUUGUGUGAGCCCCCGUCAAUUUCUUUGAGUUUUAGCCUUGCGGCCGUACUCCCCAGGCGGAAUGCUUAAAGCGUUAACUGCGCCACUGAAGAGUAAACUCCCCAACGGCUGGCAUUCAUCGUUUACGGCGUGGACUAC